rnacentral:lncRNA from 1 species
GACCCAAAUUAAUACAGAAGGCUUAGCAAUGUGCUGCCGCACUCGAACAAGGCAGCUCAUCCCCGACACGACAAGGGGAAACCUCUCGCGGUAUAUCUAGCAGAUCGGGGAUCCACGGUUCAUAAUCCGUGUAAAUAACUACAAAGGCCAAGAAACACCGCCUCUGCAAUCUUCCCCGUCCCUCCUAUUCCUACGUGUCAAAAAAUGAUAGAACUGUAUCUUCAUGUUUUUCACCGUCCCGUCAUACUAUUUUUUUCGUCAUGGAUCAUAAACAUAAGAAAUACUCUCCCUCAGUUCUAUAAUUCUUGUUUCAAAUUUAUCAAAAUAUGGAUUUUUUUGAGAGCCUUUUUCUUUUUCUUUUGGUUGAGUCGAAGCUUGCCAAGAUGCAGGUCGGGUCCAAGCUUGCCAAAACAGGCAAACAUGGGCCAUUUGCCCGUUGGCUAAAAAGAUAACAAGCCAAAUACGCUCGGGCUGUGACCAAUACGCCGGGCUGGGCUCAACAAGCAUGAUCUCGGUGGCACAUGGAG